AUGCUGUUUUAUUUAAAAGGAAAAUAUUUAUUUUACAGAGUUUUAUUGUUUGUGAUGCUCAUGACAAAAUGAAUUUAAUUUGGUCUUUUAUUAAAAGUCAUAAAAAACAAAAGAUUUUGGUAUUUAUGGCAAGUUGCAAGCAGGUGAAGUUCACUUAUGAAAGUAUUUGUCGUCUGAGACCAGGAGUUAGUAUAAUGGCAUUAUAUGGCAGUUUGCAUCAACUUAGAAGGAUGCAGAUUUAUGAUGAAUUCUGUAAAAAGAAUCAUGUUGUUAUGUUUGCAACAGAUGUCGCAUCUAGAGGAUUAGGUAUG